AGAUGAUGGUUUAGCUUCAUCUUAACCUUGAAUACCCAGUUGUCGAAGUUGCAAAAUGUGUUGAUAAAGAACUUUCCACCCUCCCUUUGUUGCUAAGAUUGGGAAGAGGAUGACAUGGCUCCCUCAGAUCGGCGAGCAGCCUGGCUGGAAACUGAUGAUUUGUCCGAUCCACGAACAUUGUACUUUUCAUACACCUUUUCACGAUUCUCAGACCACCAAGUUUCUGCUUGGUGCUCGCCAAAUCUUCUCCGGCUGAAGCGCACUCGUUUAAGAUCUCUAGUUCCGUCAUGCAGGGCCAUCAGUGUUAUAUAUACACCAGGUUCAUACUGUUCAAUCCACUCGGCCUCUACUUGAUUGCUGCUAGCAACCAAUGAUGUACCCCUUGAUCUCACACCAGUCUCACCAUCAUGAAGAGAUCUAGAUUCCCUCCCGUCAACAGAAUCUGUCACAGUACUAAUUGACUGAAUCCCUCCACCACCAUUGGGCAGUCUUGUAUCUGGAUGGCCAACCCAUCCAUUGUUUGGAGUUGGAUCCCUGAAUGAAUGAG
rnacentral:misc_RNA from 1 species